UAGGAAAAGGAGACAACAGAGGAUGAGAUAGUCGGAUGGCAUCAUCAAUUCAAUGGACAUGAGUUUGAGCUAAUUCCAGGAGAUACUGAAAAACAGGGAAGCCUGGUGUGCUGCAGUCCAUGGGGUCACAGCGUCAGACACACUGAGUGACAACAACAAAUGUUUGUUAGAAUUCACCUCUAAAGCCAUCUAGUCUUGAACUUUUAUUUAUUGGGAGUUUUUAAUCACAGUUUCAAUUUCAGUAUUUGUGGUCUGUACAUAUUUUCUAUUUCUUCAGUCUUGGGAGACUGUACCUUUCUAAGAAUUUUCCCAUAUCUUCAAGGUUGUCCUUUUAUUGGCAUAUUUGCCCAUAGUGAUCUCUUAUGAUCCUUUGCAUUUCUGUGGUGUCAAUUGUAACUUCUUUUAAUUUCUAAUUAUGUUGAUUUGAGCCCUCUCCCUUUAUUUUAUGAGUCUUCCUAAAUGUUUAUCAAUUUUGUUUAUGUUUUCAAAUAACCUGGUCUCACUUUCAUUGAUUUUUUCUAUCUUUUUUUGGUCAUUUCUAUUUAUUUCUGCUCUGAUCUUUAUGCUUUCUUCUUCUAACUUGGAAUUUUGUUUAUUCAUCUUUCUAGUUGCUUAAGUGUAAGAUUGUUUGUGAUUUUUCUUGUUUCCAGAGUUAAGAUUACAUUGCUAUAAACUUUCCUCUUAGAACUGCUUUUGCCACAUCCCAUUAGCUUGAAUCAUUAUACUUUUAUUUUCAUUUGUCUCUAGGUACUUUUUAUUUCCUCUUUCUUUGACUCAUUGGUUGUUUAAUCGUAUUGUUUAGCCUUCACAUGUUUGUGUGGUUUUUUUUUUCUUGUAGUUUAAUCUUGUGGUUGGAAAAGUUGCUUGGUGGGAUUUCAAUUUUCUUAAAUUUACUGACACUAGCUUUGUGCUCAGCAUGUGGUCAAUUCUGGAGAAUGUUCUAUGUGCAUUUGAGAAGUAUGUGCAUUCUGCUGCUUUUGGACAGAAUGCUUUAUAAAUAUCAAUUAGUCUAUCUAGUCUAACCUUGAUAGAAUUUCUUAGGCAGGUGGAUAAGGAGUCCACAGGCCCAGUCAUGUAGUCAUACAUAUCCUAGAAUUUAUGGCUGUUUUGAAUUUUCGGCCAUUCACCCACAUCAGAAAUAGGAGCUAGGGAGCUGGUUAAUUUGUAACAUUGGAGUCAUAGGAAAAAGUUACUGGAUGUUGUCAGGUGACCGGCCUUUGUCACAAGAUCUAAGGGAGACAAACUGACCUAAUGAAUCUUAUGCCAAAACUAUUUGUAGUAUAACAGGUCAAAAGGUAUAUAGAACAUCUUAAAAGCUGUAUGUGGGUCUCUUCCUACCCUUCUGGUGUCUGGGCUAGAAGCUGUCCCUAUACUUCCUGACUUUUACUAAAGCUUUACACUCCUGCAAAGACCUGAGCAACUGUUCCUUUGGUUCCAGAGAGAAUUUUUUCCUUGGAAGACUACAGACCCAUACCCAACACAGAAUGUGGUAGAACAAUGUGCCAUUUAAGGCUUGCACUUCCUUAUUGAUUUUCUGUCUAGAUGAUCUGUCCAUUGACGAAAAGUAGGAUGUUUAAGUUCCCACUAUUACUGUCUUACUGUUGAUUUCUCCUUUUACGGCUUAGUAUUUGCCUUAUAUUUUGGGGUGCUUUUAUGUUGGGUGCAUAUAUUGAUUGAUAUAUCAUCUUCUUGGAUUGAUUUCUUGAUCAUUAUAUAGUGUCUUUGUUUAUCUCUUGUAACAUCUUCAUUCCAGUAUAUUUUAUCUGAGUAUUGCUAUUCCAGCUUUCUUGGGAUUUCCAUUUGCAUGGAAUGCCUUUUUCCUUCCCUCACUUUCAGUCUGUAUCUGUCCCUAGAUCUAAAGUGGGUCUCUUGUAGAUAGCACAUAUGUGGGUCUUGUUUUUGCAUCCAUGCAGCCAGUCUAUGUCUUUUGGUUGGAGCCUUUAAUUCACUUACAUUUAAGGUAAUUUUCAGUGUGUGUUCCUACUGUCAUUUUCUUAUUUGGAUUUGUUUUUAUAGGUCUUUUUCCCUUCCUUUUUCACUCUGUUCUCUUGUGAUUUGAUGAUUUAGUGUUGUGUUUGAAAUCAUUUUUCUCUAUGUAACUUUCAGACUUUUGAUUUGCAGUGACCAUGAGGAUUUGGUAUAGCGGACUAUAUGUAAAUAAGAUUGUUUUAAGUUGCUGGUUGUUUAACUUCAAAUAUUUUCCAAUAUCCUGUAUUUGUGCUCUCCUCACACUGCUAGUUUUGGUAUCUAUAUCAGAACUAGCAGUGUGAUGGGGAGAAGGCGACGGCACCCCACUCCAGUACUCUCGCCUGGAAAAUCCCAGACGGAGGAGCCUGGUGGGCUGCAGUCUAUGGGGUCACUAAGAGUUGGACAUGACUGAGCAACUUCAUUUUCACUUUUCACUUUCAUGCUUUGGAGAAGGAAAUGGCAACCCACUCCAGUGUUCUUGCCUGGAGAAUCCUAGGGACGGAGGAGCCUGGUGGGCUGCCAUCUAUGGGGUUGCACAGAGUCGGACAUGACUGACGUGACUUAGCAGCAGCAGCAGCAGCAAUGUGAGGGGAACCACGAUGGUGUGAUCACUCACCUAGAGCCAGACCACCUGGAAUGUGAAGUCAAGUGGGCCUUAGGAAGCAUCACCACGAACAAAGCUAAUGGAGGUAAUGAAAUUCCAGCUGAACUAUUUCAAAUCCUAAAAGUUGAUGCUAUUAAAGUGCUGCACUCAGUAUGCCAGCAAAUUUGGAAAACUCAGUAGUGGCCACAGGACUGGAAAAGCUCAGUUUUCAUUCCAAUCCCAAAGAAAGGCAAUGCCAAAGAAUGUUCAAAUUACCACACAACUGUACUCAUCUCACACACUAGCAAAGUAAUGCUCAAAGUUCUCCAAGCAAGGUUUUAACAGUACAUGAACCAAGAACUUCCAGAUGGUCAGCUGGAUUUAGAAAAGGCAGUGGAGAUUCCUUAAAAAACUGGAAAUAGAACUGCCUUAUGAUCCAGCAA
ensembl:lncRNA